GACGAACGCUGGCGGCGUGCUUAACACAUGCAAGUCGAACGGAAAGGCCCUGCUUGCAGGGUACUCGAGUGGCGAACGGGUGAGUAACACGUGGGUGAUCUGCCCUGCACUUCGGGAUAAGCCUGGGAAACUGGGUCUAAUACCGGAUAGGAGCCAUUUUUAGUGUGAUGGUUGGAAAGUUUUUUCGGUGUAGGAUGAGCUCGCGGCCUAUCAGCUUGUUGGUGGGGUAAUGGCCUACCAAGGCGGCGACGGGUAGCCGGCCUGAGAGGGUGGACGGCCACAUGGGGACGGGGAGCGGGCCCAGGUCCAGAGGGGGGGGAGAAGGGGGAAAGUUGGACAAAGGGGCACGGGCUUAAUGCGGCGCGGCCGCGGGGGGGUGGACGGCCUUGGGUUGGAAAACUCCUUUCGCAGGGAACAAGGCUUUUUGGGACGGUACCUAGUAAAGAAGCCCCGGCUAACUACGGG
rnacentral:rRNA from 1 species